rnacentral:rRNA from 1 species
CAAUAGCAUAUAUUAACGUUGUUGCAGUUGAAAAGCUCGUAGUUGAACUUUUGGUAGGAGCGACCUGGCCUUGGGCGCAUGCCCUUGUUUGCCGUUUGUCGUAUCUGGCCAUCCUUUUCCGCUUCGGCGGGAAUCCUUUACUGUGAGUAAACUGGAGUGCUCAAAACAAGACGUUUGUUUGGUACAUUAAAGCAUGGAAUAAUAAGAUAGGACCUGGUUACUAUUUUGUUGGUUUGCAUAGCUAGGUAAUGAUUAACAGGGACAGUUGGGGGUAUUCGUAUUUAAUUGUCAGAGGUGAAAUUCUUGGAUUUAUGAAAGACGAACGACUGCGAAAGCAUUUACCAAGGAUGUUUUCAUUAA